rnacentral:rRNA from 1 species
AGUGAACGCUGGCGGUAGGCCUAACACAUGCAAGUCGAACGGCAGCACAGUAAGAGCUUGCUCUUACGGGUGGCGAGUGGCGGACGGGUGAGGAAUACAUCGGAAUCUACUUUUUCGUGGGGGAUGACGUAGGGAAACUUACGCUAAUACCGCAUACGACCUACGGGUGAAAGCAGGGGAUCUUCGGACCUUGCGCGAUUGAAUGAGCCGAUGUCGGAUUAGCUAGUUGGCGGGGUAAAGGCCCACCAAGGCGACGAUCCGUAGCUGGUCUGAGAGGAUGAUCGGCCACACUGGAACUGAGACACGGUCCAGACUCCUACGGGAGGCAGCAGUGGGGAAUAUUGGACAAUGGGCGCAAGCCUGAUCCAGCCAGACCGCGUGGGUGAAGAAGGCCUUCGGGUUGUAAAGCCCUUUUGUUGGGAAAGAAAAGCAGCAGGUUAAUACCCCGCUGUUCUGACGGUACCCAAAGAAUAAGCACCGGCUAACUUCGUG